GGGCCUUCUUAUUUCUACCACUGUUUUUUUACACAAAAAAAAUCUAUCUAAAAACAAUUCUUUACAAGAAAUUCUUAAAACUUUCAACAACGGAUCUCUUGGUUCUCGCAUCGAUGAAGAACGCAGCGAAAUGCGAUACGUAAUACGAAUCGCAGCUCUCGGAAUCAUCGAAUCUUUGAACGCACAUUGCACCAUUGGGUAUUCCCAAUGGUAUGCUUGUUUGAGCGAAUACUUCCCUAAUCCUCACGGAUUGUAUUGUGUUUGCACGAAAAUAAUGACGACAGUACUCUACAAAACGGUACCGUCAGUACACUCAUUUUUUUUCCUCAAAUCAAGUAGGACUACCCGCUGAACUUAAGCAUAUCAAAAGCCGGAGGAA
rnacentral:rRNA from 1 species